GGGAGGGCUCGGGCACUGGAAAUGGCUGGGUAAAACCGGGCUGCCCCGGACUGGGGCUUCACCUAUUUUCAUGGAAUAAGGACUGAUAUGGAGCUAGGAAGCCAUGAAUCCCCCUUGACUAAUGCUGGGAACAAGGCCGCUCUACUCCCAUGAUCUUUCUUCUAAGUCCAGGCUUUAACUCUCUCAUUUUUAUUUCUAAUUUUAUUUGCUGUCAUUGUUAUCUUAAUUCUCAUUUUCCUUGAUUGUUGAUUUAUUUUUA
rnacentral:lncRNA from 1 species